GGUCAUGUGGUGUAAGUGGUAACACCAUUGCUAUAUGUAUAUGCAGAAGCCCUGGGUUCCAUUCCCAGUCUGGCCA